UACAGAGGUCUCGAGCGUUAAUCGGAAUUACUGGGCUUAAAGGGUGCGUAGGCGGCGCGGUAAGUCGGGUGUGAAAUCUCGGAGCUUAACUCCGAAACUGCAUUCGAUACUGCCGUGCUUGAGGACUGGAGAGGAGACUGGAAUUUACGGUGUAGCGGUGAAAUGCGUAGAUAUCGUAAGGAAGACCAGUGGCGAAGGCGGGUCUCUGGACAGUUCCUGACGCUGAGGCACGAAGGUCAGGGGAGCAAACGGG
rnacentral:rRNA from 1 species